AGUGAACGCUGGCGGUAGGCCUAACACAUGCAAGUCGAACGGCAGCACAGUAAGAGCUUGCUCUUACGGGUGGCGAGUGGCGGACGGGUGAGGAAUACAUCGGAAUCUACUUUUUCGUGGGGGAUAACGUAGGGAAACUUACGCUAAUACCGCAUACGACCUACGGGUGAAAGCAGGGGAUCUUCGGACCUUGCGCGAUUGAAUGCGCCGAUGUCGGAUUAGCUAGUUGGCGGGGUAAAGGCCCACCAAGGCGACGAUCCGUAGCUGGUCUGAGAGGAUGAUCGGCAACACUGGAACUGGAACACGGCCCGGACUCCUAGGGGAGGCAGAAGAGGGGAAUAUUGGACAUUGGGCGCAAGCCUGAUCCAGCCAUACCGCGUGGGUGAAGAAGGCCUUCGGGUUGUAAAGCCUUUUUGUUGGGAAGGAAAAGCAGCAGGUUAAUACCCCGCUGUUCUGACGGUACCCAAGGAAUAAGCACCGGCUAACUUCGUG
rnacentral:rRNA from 1 species